rnacentral:rRNA from 1 species
AUUGAACGCUGGCGGCAGGCUUAACACAUGCAAGUCGAGCGGAUGAAGGCUGCUUGCUUCUGGUUUUAGAGGCGGACGGGUGAGUAUUGCCUAGGAAUAUGCUUGGUAGUGGGGGAUAAUGUCUGCAAACGGCCGCUAAUAACGCAUACGUCCUGCGGGUGAAACAGGGGGAUCUUCGGACCUUACGCUAUCUGAUGAGCUUAGGCCGGACUAGCUAGCUGGUGGGGUAAAGGGCUACCAAGGCGACGAUCCGUAACUCGUCUGAGAGGAAGAUCAGUCACACUGGAAGUGGAACACGGUCAUGACGCCUACGAGAGGCAGCAGUGUGGAAUAUUGGACAGUAGGCGGAAACCUGAUACAACCAUGCCACGUGUGUGAAGAAAGUCUUCGGAGUGGAAAGCACUUUAAGUUGGGAGGAAGGGCAUUAAGUUGAUACCUUGCUGUUUUGACGUUACCGACAAAAUAAGCACCGGCUAACUACGUG